rnacentral:rRNA from 1 species
UACAGAGGGGGCAAGCGUUGUUCGGAAUUACUGGGCGUAAAGGGCGCGUAGGCGGCCUGUUAAGUCGAACGUGAAAUCCCUGGGCUCAACCCAGGAACUGCGUCCGAUACUGGCAGGCUUGAAUUCGGGAGAGGGAUGUGGAAUUCCAGGUGUAGCGGUGAAAUGCGUAGAUAUCUGGAGGAAUACCGGUGGCGAAGGCGGCAUCCUGGACCGGCAUUGACGCUGAGGAGCGAAAGCCAGGGGAGCAAACGGG